CCUACGGGUGGCAGCAGUGAGGAAUAUUGGUCAAUGGGCGGGAGCCUGAACCAGCCAAGUCGCGUGAAGGAAGAAGGUACUUAGUAUUGUAAACUUCUUUUGUCGGGGAACAAAGGCGGAGACGCGUCUCCGGAUGAGUGUACCCGAAGAAAAAGCAUCGGCUAACUCCGUGCCAGCAGCCGCGGUAAUACGGAGGAUGCGAGCGUUAUCCGGAUUUAUUGGGUUUAAAGGGUGCGCAGGCGGGAGAUCAAGUCAGUUGUGAAAGUUUGCGGCUCAACCGUAAAAUUGCAAUUGAUACUGGCAGUCUUGAGUACAGUUGAGGUAGGCGGAAUUCGUGGUGUAGCGGUGAAAUGCUUAGAUAUCACGAAGAACUCCGAUUGCGAAGGCAGCUUACUAAACUGCCACUGACAUUGAUGCUCGAAAGUGUGGGUAUCAAACAGGAUUAGAUACCCUGGUAGUC
rnacentral:rRNA from 1 species